CAACCGUCUCACAUAAAUAAUAAUUAUAUUUAAAAUACUUUACACCACAUACUAUUAUAUUUUAAUUUAUAUUCUAAAUCAAAUUAUAUAAUAUAAAUAUUUUGCAGUGUAAAAGCUUUCAAAUCGACGUAAAAUCAACAAAUUCUGCGAAGGAGGUGCCAACAAGAUAAUCCGGAAUUUCUGCUACAACAAUUUCUGGGAAAGAAAGGAACAAUCUUCCCAAGAGACAAGCUCCCCCGUGUACGUUCUGCAUGUUGACCAGAAUCAUGAAUCAUGAAUCAAGAGACUUCCUUGCCAAAUAUCUGGGGACUGGGGAGGAAUGAAGCGCAUUUGUAGCCCUUUUAGAAGUCAUGGUCCUGCACUUCAAUGGCAACAGAAGAGCUUCAAAUUUGUAUAUAAUAUAGUGAUCAACUGUAAAAUAUAGAAUUGUCGACACCAAGUUAUUGUCAAAAUCAGCUAUCCGUAACAUGCUGACUGCCACCACCAUCUAUGCCAGAAUCAUCCCUAGAAGUAGAUUCUGGAAUAUUAAGACUGUUUGUUGUAGUGACAUUAUCGUCACCAUAUUCAGAUGCAGAGCUAGCAUCAAUCUCUUUUUCAAGACAGUCAAGUUGCACACAUUCAGGAACGUCACUGUUGUAACUUUCCGCAUCAUGACUCCUAGUUGAUACUGUUAAAUCUUCUUUCUUAACAACAUUAAACACAAUGCCGUUGUGGGUCCUCUCUGGCUGCAAAAGAUCACCUUCCGUCACUGUUAAGCUGGAACUAUUACUGGAAACUCUAUUGAAAAGAUCCCUCUGAUCAAACUCUGUGCCUUCUGGGCUUCUAUCCGGUGUUGUUACCCUUGGGCCAUGAUAAUAUUGAUUGUUGCCUGCUAUUUGAAGUACA